UAAUACGGAGGGAGCUAGCGUUGUUCGGAAUUACUGGGCGUAAAGCGCGCGUAGGCGGCUACUCAAGUCAGAGGUGAAAGCCCGGGGCUCAACCCCGGAACUGCCUUUGAAACUAGGUAGCUAGAAUCUUGGAGAGGUCAGUGGAAUUCCGAGUGUAGAGGUGAAAUUCGUAGAUAUUCGGAAGAACACCAGUGGCGAAGGCGACUGACUGGACAAGUAUUGACGCUGAGGUGCGAAAGCGUGGGGAGCAAACAGG
rnacentral:rRNA from 1 species